rnacentral:rRNA from 1 species
UACAGAGGUCUCAACCGUUGUUCGGAUUCAUUGGGCGUAAAGGGUGCGUAGGCGGCCGCGCAAGUCGGAUGUGAAAUCUCAGGGCUCAACCCUGAAACUGCAUUCGAUACUGCGUGGCUAGAGUGCUGGAGAGGAGACUGGAAUUUACGGUGUAGCAGUGAAAUGCGUAGAUAUCGUAAGGAAGACCAGUGGCGAAGGCGAGUCUCUGGACAGCAACUGACGCUGAGGCACGAAGGCCAGGGGAGCAAACGGG